GCACAAGCAGUGGAGUAUGUGGUUUAAUUCGAAGCAACGCGAAGAACCUUACCAGGUCUUGACAUCCGAUGCAUAGUGCAGAGAUGCAUGAAGUCCUUCGGGACAUCGAGACAGGUGGUGCAUGGUUGUCGUCAGCUCGUGUCGUGAGAUGUUGGGUUAAGUCCCGCAACGAGCGCAACCCUUAUUGCCAGUUACUACGCAAGAGGACUCUGGCGAGACUGCCGUUGUAAAA
rnacentral:rRNA from 1 species